AGGGUUUGAUUAUGGCUCAGAUUGAACGCUGGCGGCAGGCUUAAUACAUGCAAGUCGAACGGUAACAUAGCGAAAGCUUGCUUUUGCUGAUGACGAGUGGCGGACGGGUGAGUAGUAUCUGGGAAACUGCCCUAAAGAGGGGGACAACAGCUGGAAACGGCUGCUAAUACCGCAUGGACCCUGAGGGGGAAAGGGAAGGAAACUUCCGCUUUAGGAUGUGCCCAGACGGGAUUAGCUGGUAGGUGAGGUAAAGGCUCACCUAGGCGACGAUCUCUAGCCGGUCUGAGAGGAUGACCGGCCACAUCGGGACUGAGACACGGCCCGG
rnacentral:rRNA from 1 species